GAAUAUUGGACAAUGGGGGGAACCCUGAUCCAGCCAUGCCGCGUGUGUGAAGAAGGCCUUUUGGUUGUAAAGCACUUUAAGCGAGGAGGAGGCUACCUGGAUUAACACUUUAGGAUCGUGGACGGUACCCGCAGAAUAAGCAACGGCUACCCCUGUCCCCGCCGCCGCGGUAAUACAGAGGGUGCGAGCGUUAAUCGGAUUUACUGGGCGUAAAGCGUGCGUAGGCGGCCAAUUAAGUCAAAUGUGAAAUCCCCGAGCUUAACUUGGGAAUUGCAUUCGAUACUGGUUGGCUAGAGUAUGGGAGAGGAUGGUAGAAUUCCAGGUGUAGCGGUGAAAUGCGUAGAGAUCUGGAGGAAUACCGAUGGCGAAGGCAGCCAUCUGGCCUAAUACUGACGCUGAGGUACGAAAGCAUGGGGAGCAAACAG
rnacentral:rRNA from 1 species